rnacentral:misc_RNA from 1 species
GAACAGGAAGCGGCAUAUUACGUCAAAUGUAGCUCUAGGAUCAAUCACAUCUGCAUUUCGAUGGUCGAAUACAUGACUUGCAGCAAAGAUCAACUUCUGGUAGUGCAAACGGGAAGAGGCAGAGGCUUCAAAGUUCAUAUUCUGUUGCACGUUUAUCAGUCCCCAAGAAGGGUUCGUUUUUUGGAUGUGUUCAUGUAAGGCUUUAUGACCCACUCGAUUUGAGCUUCGUCUUGAUCCAUUGUUCCUAAUUUGAUCUGGUAAAGCCGUAGUUCAAAUCGAGGGCCAACUUCUUUCAGCUCAAUUGAUUUUGGACCUCCAUGCUUUUCAUAGACGUGAUGUCUGAAUGAGAUGUAGUCCGACUGGUUAGCAAAUGUGAGGAUACGUUUUGUAUCAGGCUUCGGAACAGGAAACAAAUGCUUUAGGAUGUUUACUGUCCUCUCACCAAGCUUAGUUGAAAAUUUGUCAAAAAUCAAAUGUGGAUACGCCUCAGACAUUGUUCCCAUAGAUUUCUUGUCCUUAAUAUCAUGUCUAGUCACCACAUUGAGCAAUCCAAAGUAA